AUUGAACGCUGGCGGCAGGCCUAACACAUGCAAGUCGAACGGUAACAGGAAGAAGCUUGCUUCUUUGCUGACGAGUGGCGGACGGGUGAGUAAUGUCUGGGAAACUGCCUGAUGGAGGGGGAUAACUACUGGAAACGGUAGCUAAUACCGCAUAACGUCGCACGACCAAAGAGGGGGACCUUCGGGCCUCUUGCCAUCGGAUGUGCCCAGAUGGGAUUAGCUAGUAGGUGGUGUAACGGCUCACCUAGGCGACGAUCCCUAGCUGGUCUGAGAGGAUGACCAGCCACACUGGAACUGAGACACGGUCCAGACUCCUACGGGAGGCAGCAGUGGGGAAUAUUGCACAAUGGGCGCAAGCCUGAUGCAGCCAUGCCGCGUGUAUGAAGAAGGCCUUCUGGUUGUAAAGUACUUUAAGCGGGGAGGAAGGGAGUAAAGUUAAUACCUUUGCUCAUUGACGUUACCCGCAGAAGAAGCACCGGCUAACUCCGUG
rnacentral:rRNA from 1 species